CUUCACGGAGCCCAGCAGCAGCGGCUGUUCGGCGUCCCGGUCCUGGCCGUAGGUGGCGAGGAGGGCCUGGGCCUC
rnacentral:antisense_RNA from 1 species